AACGGCGAGUGAACAGGGAAAAGCCCAAAUUUGUAAUCUGGCACUUUUUACAAGUGUCCGAGUUGUAAUUUGUAGAGCUGUUAUCCGUACUGGACCAUGUACAAGUCUGUUGAAAAGCAGCAUCAUUGAAGGUGAAAAUCCUGUAGAUGAUAUGGACUACCAGUAUAUUUGUGAUACGGUUUCUAAGAGUCGAGUUGUUUGGGAAUGCAGCUCAAAGUGGGUGGUAAAUUCCAUCUAAGGCUAAAUAUAAGUGAGAGACCGAUAGCAAACAAGUACCGUGAGGGAAAGAUGAAAAGAACUUUGAAAAUAGAGUUAACAGUACGUGAAAUUGCUGAAAGGGAAACGUUUGAAGUUAGUUUUGUAUUCGUUGGAUCAGCUUCGCAAGGAGUGUAUUCUGAUGAUAAGCAAGUCAACAUCAGUCUAUGAGUGUUGGAUAAGGGUUUUGAGAAUGUAGCAAUUUAAUUGUGUUAUAGCUUGAGACUUGGAUACAAUGCUUUGGAUUGAGGAACGCGUAGUAAGCUUUGAGCGGAUUCGAAAGGAUCUCCUUACUAUGGA
rnacentral:rRNA from 1 species